UCUGCUUCCCGAGACUACUCCUGGCCCUGAGACCACUCCAGCCUCUUCUCACUCUGUUCUCUUCCUUAUUCUCUACCCUCUGUGCUCUCUGGUCUUUCUUUUGGUUCCCUGAAAGUCCUAUGUUCCUCCCAGUUAAGAGCUCUGCCUGUGUUCACCUCUCGUUGGAAUGCUCUCACAUCCAGUGCUCCACCCAGCACAACUCCUCAAAUGCUCCACCCAGCACAACUCCUCAGAUCUCAUGUCUCUACUUUGAACUUUGAAAAGAGGAGAAGAGAAGUAAUCAUUUGCAAGCAGACAUUGUGUGAGGUCCUUCAUGUGAGCAGGUCAUGACAAGCAGAGACACAGAGGUUUGUUCUCUGUUGGGUUUCAUCAUUUCAUUUCCCUGAAUUCAUUAACACUAGAAAAUUGAUGGCUGUGACAUUUAUAAACAUGUGGGUGUUGAAGUCAGGCCUGGGUGAUGUUCUCAAGAGAACAAGUGCUUUCCAAAAGUCACUGGGUGUUAGCUCUUGCUUUGUUUCCUCUGCUUCUACCAUCUGCUAAUUCCAGAAUCAUUUCUGAUUGAGGCAAAGGAUUAGCAACUUUGCAACAGUGCCCUUCCAGGCCAGCAGGGUGAGCACUCUCUGUACUCUGAAGAAGAGAGAUGUGGUUUAAAGCAGGUUGUCAACCCACAGCUCUGAGCUAAUCAGCAGUGGGAAAUUUCUGGGAAGGCAGGUCCCGGGUUAUCAAACUCUAUUAGAAGCAAGAGCAUCAGUUAUGCAAAUAGUGUCAUAUUAACAAAGUCAAAAUCCCUGGGGAAAAAGCAUUUUUCUUUCACACUUCUUCUAAUUAUGAUAUGAAAUGCAUUAACAUUUAAAAAACAGCUUUAUUGAGAUAUGAUUGACAUAUAAUAAACUGCACAUAUUUAACUACACAUUUUAUAAGUUUUGACACAUAUUUGGGAAGUCACCACCACAGUCAAAGUAAUCAGCAUGUCCAUCACUCCCAAAAGUUUUAUUUUUAAAUUAUAUAUAUAUUUUUAGUUUUAUUUUUAGUUGACAUAAUUAUACACAUUUAUUGGAUAUAGAGUGAUAUCUCAAUACGUGUAUACAUUGUAUAAUGAUCAAAUCAAGGAAAUUAGUAUUUCCAUCACCUCAAAGAUUUAUAUUUUUUGUGUGUUGUAUGCAUUCAAAAUCCUCUCUUCUAGCUUUUUGAUAACGUGCAAUAUGGUUGCCAUGCAUGUACCUAUGCAAUAAUCCUGCACGAUAUGCACUUGUACCCAGAACCUAAAGUACAAUUGAAAAGAAAAUGUGCAAUAAAUAAUAGUUAAACAUAUUUAUCCUACAGUGCUACAGGAUCCAAUAACUCAUUUCUCCCAGUUAGCUGUAAUUUUGUACCCAUUAACCAGCCUUUUCCUCCCUGCUACCUUCCUAGCCUUAAGAACCACAAUUCUAUUUUCUACUUGUAUGAAGUCAAAUUUGUUUAGCUUCCAUGUAUGAGUGAAAACAUGUGGUAUUUACUUUUCUGUGCCUGACUAAUUUCACUUAACAUAAUGUCCUUUGGCCUCGUCAAUAUUUCCGUGAAUGACACGAUUUCAUUAGUUUUGUUUGUUUGUUUGUUUUUUUGGCUGAAUACUGUUCCCUUGUGUAUAUAAACCACAUAUUCUUUAUCCAUUCAUCUGCUGAUGAACAUUUAGUUGAUUUCAUAUCUCGGCUCUUGUGAAUAGUGCUGCAAUAAACAUGAGAAUGUGGAUAUCUCUUCAACAUAUUGAUUCUUUUACUUUGAAUAAAUGCCCAGUAGUAGAAUUGCUAGAUUAUAGAGUAGUUUUAUUUUUAGUUUUUUUUUAUAAAGAACUUCCAUGCUGCUUUCCAUAAUUGAUUUUUCAGUUUACAUUCCUACCAAGAGUGUAUAAGAGUUCUCAUCUCUCUAUGUCCUUGCCGGCAUUUGUUAUUAUUCUUACUUUUUGAUAAUA
ensembl:lncRNA